CCUGGAUCCCUUAAAAUGGAAUUCAUGCCCCAUAUAAUUGCUUUCCCUGCAGGCGGCCCAGCAAAAGAACCAGUGCCCCCAGAGGUCCAGCUGCUCCAUUCCUCCUGUGACUCCAGAUCUGGGGAUGCCGACAUUGAGCUGGUGUGUCUCAUCCAGGGCUUCUACCCCGAGGAUCUGGAGGUGGAAUGGUUGGUGGGCGGGAAGUCUGGUCUCUUGGCUUCCCGGACAGACACUCCCAGGAGGGACGAUACCGGAUACACGUUCAGCACCACCAGCAGGGCCAACGUAAGCCAGGCUGAUUGGCUGGAAGGGAAUACCUACCACUGCCAGGUGACCCAUCCAGCAACGCAAACUACAUUGAAAAGCACAGCCAAAAGAUGUGAAGCUACCAGUGGCUGCCAGUCCUCUGGCAUUAGCACAUACAUCAGACAGCCAACCCCAAAAGACCUGUAUGUGAACCGUACCCCCAAGAUCCUGUGUGUGAUGAUCAAUCUGGUGUCAGAAGAGGGGCUCAGCAUCACGUGGUCACGAGAAAAGCAGGGACCCCUCAACCCUCAACCACUGGAUGUAGAGGAGGAACUGAACGGCACCUAUACUGCCAUUAGCACAUUGCCUGUCACUGUUGAGGAAUGGUCCCUUGGGGAGAGAUUCACCUGCACCAUGCAGCACACCUCCUUCUCCGCUCCAAUCACCAUGACGACUUCCAAGAGGACAGAACCAAGCAGGGCUCCCAAGAUCUACCUCUUCCCCCCUCACCAUGAAGAACUCACAGCUCCUCAAAAGCAAUCUGCUGGCGAAGCAACAGUGCAUCUCACCUGCCUGAUUGUCAAUUUCAUCCCGAGGGACAUUUCUGUCCAGUGGCUGAUGAAUGACAAUGCCGUGCCUGAAGAUCACUAUGUUAACAGUCCUGCCAUGAAGGGCAACCAAGAUGGUGCAUAUAUUAUGUUCAGCGGACUGCAAAUCGAUCAAGCAGCCUGGGAAGCUGGCAAUGAGUUCACCUGUAUGGCUGUUCAUGAAGGCUUCGAGGAAAAGAUCAGCCAGAGGACCGUGCAGAAAAGCUCGGGUAAAAAGUGAAGAAGACUCUAGCUCAGCCUUGUGGCCCCUCCGCCUGCCCCGGAUUUGUCUCUUGUGUUGCCAGACCAGGCCUUUGUAAAUAUGUGCCCCCCGUGCAUGUCCAGCCGCAGGCUGAAUAAAAGUGCCCCCACUCAGA